rnacentral:snRNA from 1 species
GUGCUCGUUUAGGCAGCACAUAUAUUAAAAUUGGAAUGAUACAGAGAUUAGCAUGGCCCCUGCGCAAUAAUGACACGCAAAAUCAGUGAAACAUUCCAUAUUUAA